rnacentral:rRNA from 1 species
CUUUAAAUCCACCGCCUGGGGAGUACGCCCGCAAGGUUAAAACUCAAAUGAAUUGACGGGGGCCCGCACAAGCGGUGGAGCAUGUGGUUUAAUUCGAUGCAACGCGAAGAACCUUACCUGGUCUUGACAUCCACAGAACUUUCCAGAGAUGGAUUGGUGCCUUCGGGAACUGUGAGACAGGUGCUGCAUGGCUGUCGUCAGCUCGUGUUGUGAAAUGUUGGGUUAAGUCCCGCAACGAGCGCAACCCUUAUCCUUUGUUGCCAGCGGUUAGGCCGGGAACUCAAAGGAGACUGCCAGUGAUAAACUGGAGGAAGGUGGGGAUGACGUCAAGUCAUCAUGGCCCUUACGACCAGGGCUACACACGUGCUACAAUGGCAUAUACAAAGAGAAGCGACCUCGCGAGAGCAAGCGGACCUCAUAAAGUAUGUCGUAGUCCGGAUUGGAGUCUGCAACUCGACUCCAUGAAGUCGGAAUCGCUAGUAAUCGUAGAUCAGAAUGCUACGGUGAAUACGUUCCCGGGCCUUGUACACACCGCCCGUCACACCAUGGGAGUGGGUUGCAAAAGAAGUAGGUAGCUUAAC